rnacentral:rRNA from 1 species
UACGGAGGGGGCUAGCGUUGUUCGGAAUUACUGGGCGUAAAGCGCACGUAGGCGGCUUUGUAAGUUAGAGGUGAAAGCCCGGGGCUCAACUCCGGAAUUGCCUUUAAGACUGCACCGCUAGAAUUGUGGAGAGGUAAGUGGAAUUCCGAGUGUAGAGGUGAAAUUCGUAGAUAUUCGGAAGAACACCAGUGGCGAAGGCGGCUCACUGGCCCGGUACUGACGCUGAGGUGCGAAAGCGUGGGGAGCAAACAGG